UCUAGGCCCCACAUGCUUUUCACACUUCGUUUGGUUGGAGUCAGUGCAUUAGACAUCCUCCAUUUUCAGUUAGACGUGAAACUAGACUCAGUGUCUUUGUUAGAUAAGUUAUUAUCCCUCUCUCUCUAAGUCUUUGUUCAGGUGCUGAGUUUCUAUUUCAAAUAGUCCAUGGAGCCAUUCCCCGAGAAUACUUUGAGUCUAAUUUUUCUGUUCCAGCUGCUGAAUUGUCUGUUUGUGUGCUUGACUAUCUUUACCAGAGGCUCAAUGAAGUGUGUCUAGUACAAGGUGGUGAGGUGGAAGCCAAUCAGAUGCUGCUUCACAUAUUUGUUGCCAUAUAUUGAGGGUCUUGAUUCGUGGCUAUUUGAAGGAUCACUAGAUGAUCCUUU